rnacentral:rRNA from 1 species
GAUGAACGCUGGCGGCGUGCCUAAUACAUGCAAGUCGAGCGAACAGACGCGGAGUUUGCUCCUCUGACGUUAGCCGCGGACGGGUGAGUAACACGUGUAUAACCCACCUAUAAGACUGGUAUAACCUCGGGAAACCGGAGCUAAUACCGUAUAAUAUAUUGAACCGCAUGGUUCAUUAGUUAAAGACGGCUUUUCUGUCACUUAUAGCUGGAUCCGCGCCUCAUUAGCUAGUUGUUAAGUUAACGGCUUACCAAGGCAAGGAUGCGUAGCCGACCUGAGAGGGUGAUCGGCGAAAAGGGAACUGAGAGGCGGUCAAGGCACAUAGGGGAGGCAGAAGGAGGGAAUCUACGGAAAUGGGCGGAAGCAUGACGGAGCAUCGGAGCGUGAGUGAAGAAGGUCUUCGGAUGGUAAAACUCUGUUAUUAGGGAAGAACAAAUGUGUAAGUAACGAAGCACGUCUGGACGGGACCUAAAAAGAAAGACCGGCCUAACUCCGG